ACGAUAACAGUCGCGAUGAGCCACUCAUCUUUUAUAUGAGAAGGAAAGUCUCGCGCGAGUCGGCGAGAGUACGGAGUACGAGUACGAGCGUCGUCACGUGCAGGUGCUUUCAAUCAAGAGAUGUCGGUGUUGGUGGAGCGUCGGUGAACUGUGUGUCCGUAUGGAAGCUUUUGGACGCCUGUAACACGACGAAGAGUAUUAACGGAUGUGGUGACCCAGCUGAGCGAGCUGCUGAACGUCACGCAGGCGUCGCUGUCCAAACUGAUGUCCGAGGAGCCGUCGGAGUGGAAGCAGCGGCACCAGAUCGCCUGCAUCGGCAGUCCGCCCAACGCCUGCCAACUGCGAACUGGUUCCUGCUGCAGAAGUUCAACUACCAGCUCAUGAGAUGUCAAUAAAAAGCGAGUCAAGUGUCCCGGUUCAGCGAGCGCGGCAGAGAGGGUGCGAUCACCUUCGCCUGGAUCGAACACGACGUCCGCAGCCGGCGUUGGGUACUCCGAGGUCGUCCUCGAAUGCUCUGUGCACUUUCCCUCUGCCAGACAUCAUCUGCACUUACCAGGUGACGGCUGCCAAGAACAUCCCCGCGAACCUGCUUCCUCUACCCGACAUGCGAAAAGACAAGGCCUUUGGGAAGUACUAGCCCAAACCCUCUGAGACUCCAGAGUCAAUGGGGGAAUGCAGAGGGGACGGGCUACAUGAAGACGGAGCUGAUUUCUGUCUCCGAACGAUGAGUGCAGAAUUUGAGGAGCAAAAGUGAGGACAGCAGAACUUCAUCCAUGUCUUGAGACUGUACUUUGUGUUGGACCCAUUGUUCUUUUGAAAUAAUAUGCAGCCUUGAAACUGUGAGGUUGAACAGUUGCAGUCGGAGGAACCUCAGCCACAUCCACUGUACAUAUGUCUGUCUGGAAUCUGUAUUUAAAGUAAGUACUUGG